rnacentral:lncRNA from 1 species
ACACAGAUGAGAUAUUCUACACAUUAAUCUACUUAUCUGGAAUCACUUUGCCUCUAAAGGCCAGAGAAAAAUCACAGCUUCCUUGUCGGAGGGGAAAAGGACAGGUGAUCUGGGGAAAACGCAGCUACACCUGGAGCAAGGUCUCUUCCCGGCUUGGCAAUCUCAGCUGUGCCGGCGCUACGGGACCCGAGCCGUCCCAGAAACCAAAGGGCAGGCACGGCAGCAAACGCCUGAGCCUGCCUUGUACUUCAUGCAGGUUGAACAGAAAUGUUUUCUGAGCAUGUAUUGUUACAGCCCUCUGAGAUGGUAUAAAAGAAUGAAAGAAGACACGACCUGCCUUCCAGGAGUUUCACAAAAAAGAUGGGAUGAACACAGGGACGGGUAAAUUGAAGCAAAAAGCAGACAAGUUCUAUGGGAUUUGCUGGCAUUGAUUUCCCAGGAUGGCAAAGUGCUAAGAACUAAACCUUUAAAGCUAACAAAAUGUACUGAUGUCUUUGCAAAGUAUCCAAGACCAACAAGAAAGUAAUUUCCCACCUCACCCUACCACCACCCAGAAAAGGAGCACAGAGAUGG